GACAGGCAAUGUUCCUUUUCUCAUUUAAAACUUAUAUUCAUUUUCAGAAAAAUCGUUUAAAAAAAAUUUUCUAAUCUAUAAAAUAAAAACUUGGUACCAAUACUCCUAGUAGAUGGUGAAAGUGGUAUAGACAGUGAAUGGAGUUGAUCGAUAAACAAUGUGAAGUGAAACUAAGUCCAUUCAUGGAAAUAAGCUUGAUGAUGAAUUUGAAAAUAGACACCCUAAGAUCAUUGAGUAAUUAUGGAUAUUGGACUAUCGAUCCUGGUCUGAAGAAGUUGCUUCGUUGCCUGAAGAGGAAAUAGCUUACCUGUUACGUAAUUAAUUUCAUUGCGAAUGGUGAUAUUUUCAAGUUCAGAGUACAGUUACGUGUAGAUUAGAUUGAAUGCAGUGAAUAAUUAACGAUAACAAAAGCUUAUUACUAACUUGGAAAUGUUUCGCAGCUCCUGAUUUCACCUUCUUGGGGAACGCGCGACGGGAAUUUGCAUAGAAUGGCUGCACAACCGCAUUAGGACGGUGUGUCUGUACUCGAAGACCUUCCUUGUAAGUCAGUUAAUGCAGAGCAGACACCAAGCAGACGCUGAAAACAUCCAUCACUGCAUAGUGGGCCCUAUCUUGCGACGCGGAUCGCGGCCCCAUAAUUACACUCUCGCCAGCUCGCCUAUUUUUUUAUUUCUCUCUUCCUCCCUGUAUCGUUCCACCCUUUCGAUGUCUUUGAAUCUUAAAAGACGAAGAAUCGAUCGAUGUGAUAAAGACUGUCACUAUCUCUGGCAUUUAUUACACCUUACAUUCCUAUAUAUUCCUUCCAGUCAAUUUCCAAAACUGAUGAGUCGAUAGAAUUGCAAAUGAUGAACUCAGUUAAAUCUUUUAAACUGAUAAAUAACAAAUAAUUAUUGUAACACAAAUUGAUCCUUGUUAAUAAUUCAAACGUUCCGAUAGUUUGUAUUCAAUAAUUAUUAUUUGUGUUGCAAAUAAACUCAUGCAACAGUUAGAAGAGGUUGUUAAGAGUUCAUUAAGGUCACUGAGUUGAAGUGAAAUAUCCUCUAGCCAUUCUAUGAUCGAUUAUGAAUCGAUUAGGUCACUAUUGUUGACCUUCUGCCAUUAUCCAUCAUUCCUGUUACAAUCAGCAAUCUUUCCAUUUGCAUCAUUAAUGUCCAUUCGAUGGAAGAAGAAAUUUUAGAAAUAAUUUCUUUGUAUGGCACUUGAUG